GUACAAAAGCUACAACUUGUAAUAGAUCUACUAAGAUAAUUGGCAAUGACGAAAGUUUCCUUCACUUUGAUUUCUUGUAUUUGUUUGAUUCUCAUCACAACAUGUUUACAUAGUGUGGAACUUGAAGCAGCCAUAUGUCCACCAAAAUGCAGCCAAACGUCCAAAAAGCAGGAUUGUUGGGAUUUUUGCAGCGGGCACAUAAACGAUUGUAUAAAUGGAAUUUGUGUAUGUAACGAACCAAGAAAGUGCAAUGUCAAGAGCGAUUGUUGGGAUUAUUGCAAGGGGCAGAUAAAAGAUUGUAUAAAGGGAUAUUGUCAAUGUAACAGCAACUUGCGUGGGAGGUUCAAUAGUUGCAAUACCCCAAUUAGAUCACUUGGAUUUUUUUUUAAUUAGGAGUCUAUUAUUAUUGUAUGAGGUUAUGCGGUCUCCUCUUCAUAUAUUGUUUGAUUUUGGAGAGAAUUUAUAAUUUUUAAUAAUAUUAACAUAAAGACUA